rnacentral:rRNA from 1 species
GAUGAACGCUGGCGGCGUGCCUAAUACAUGCAAGUCGAGCGAACAGACGAGGAGCUUGCUCCUCUGACGUUAGCGGCGGACGGGUGAGUAACACGUGGAUAACCUACCUAUAAGACUGGGAUAACUUCGGGAAACCGGAGCUAAUACCGGAUAAUAUAUUGAACCGCAUGGUUCAAUAGUGAAAGACGGUUUUGCUGUCACUUAUAGAUGGAUCCGCGCCGCAUUAGCUAGUUGGUAAGGAAACGGCUUACCAAGGCGACGAUGCGUAGCCGACCUGAGAGGGUGAUCGGCCACACUGGAACUGAGACACGGUCCCGACUCCUACGGGAGGCAGCAGUAGGGAAUCUUCCGCAAUGGGCGAAAGCCUGACGGAGCAACGCCGCGUGAGUGAUGAAGGUCUUCGGAUCGUAAAACUCUGUUAUUAGGGAAGAACAAAUGUGUAAGUAACUAUGCACGUCUUGACGGUACCUAAUCAGAAAGCCACGGCUAACUACGUG